GGGAUAAGCCAUGCGAGUCAACAUAGCAAUAUGUGGCAUACGGCUCAGUAACACGUAGUCAACAUGCCCAGGGGACGUGGAUAACCUCGGGAAACUGAGGAUAAACCGCGAUAGGUCAUCACUUCUGGAAUGGGUAAUGACUUAAACCUAUAUGGCCCCUGGAUUGGACUGCGGCCGAUCAGGCUGUUGGUGAGGUAAUGGCCCACCAAACCUGUAACCGGUACGGGCUCUGAGAGGAGGAGCCCGGAGAUGGGCACUGAGACAAGGGCCCAGGCCCUAUGGGGCGCAGCAGGCGCGAAACCUCUGCAAUAGGCGAAAGCUUGACAGGGUUACUCUGAGUGAUUUCCGUUAAGGAGAUCUUUUGGCACCUCUAAAAAUGGUGCAGAAUAAGGGGUGGGCAAGUCUGGUGUCAGCCGCCGCGGUAAUACCAGCACCCCGAGUGGUCGGGACGUUUAUUGGGCCUAAAGCAUCCGUAGCCGGUUCUACAAGUCUUCCGUUAAAUCCACCUGCUUAACAGAUGGGCCGCGGAAGAUACUAUAGAGCUAGGAGGCGGGAGAGGCAAGCGGUACUCGAUGGGUAGGGGUAAAAUCCGUUGAUCCAUUGAAGACCACCAGUGGCGAAGGCGGCUUGCCAGAACGCGCUCGACGGUGAGGGAUGAAAGCUGGGGGAGCAAACCGGAUUAGAUACCCGGGUAGUCCCAGCUGUAAACGAUGCAGACUCGGUGAUGAGUUGGCUUAUUGCUAACUCAGUGCCGCAGGGAAGCCGUUAAGUUUGCCGCCUGGGGAGUACGGUCGCAAGACUGAAACUUAAAGGAAUUGGCGGGGGAGCACCACAAGGGGUGAAGCCUGCGGUUCAAUUGGAGUCAACGCCGGAAAUCUUACCGGGGGCGACAGCAGAGUGAAGGUCAAGCUGAAGACUUUACCAGACAAGCUGAGAGGAG
rnacentral:rRNA from 1 species